CAAAAGAUAAGCUAAUCACAAGCUACCGGGCCCAUACCCCAGUUAUGAGGAAAUAAACCUCUCUUUUUA
rnacentral:tRNA from 1 species